GCCCGGCUGCCGUCAGGCGGGCGCUCCCGCGCGGCGCCGUUGCCAUGGCAGCGGCUGUACACAGGCGGAGGGCGCAGGCCGCGCCGCGGCGCAGGCGGGCAGGGGGACGGCAGCCUCUGCAGUUACACAGCAUUUCAGCCCAAUGCUGGCAGUCAGGGACAGGUCCCUUCGAUGCCUUCUCCCAGGACACUGAACUGUGGGGCAUCAGGAUUCAAAAGGUUGCUUUGCAAUUCACAGCUGAAAUAAAGAUAGCUUCAAGACAGUGAGAUUCGUACACACAGAGGACUAUUCCCAAACCAAAAGCAUCCCUCCAUUUAGCACAGCCCAAGAGAGGACAAGGUAUCUGGUAUUUGCUGAAUCCACUGCUAAGAAAAUGAAAACCAUGCUGGCCUCCCACAUCAUGAUGGGUAACAGUUACUUCAAAGAAGCUAAGCCUAGCAUAGACAGAGCAAAAGAAAGAAGCUGUGGUCCUCAGGCUGCUCAGAGCUGCAGAAGCCUGCAAUUGCCUCAAAACUUGAGACUGCUAUCAGGAGCUGGGGGACCUGGAACUCCAGCGUGCAGAGCCAGGACUGGCAGGAGGAGGGAGAGCUUGGUUGUACACUACUCACCAGCUCUAUCAUCAGGGAAUCACCGCGAGGGCAAAGAGGAGAGGUCAGCUUUUAUGCCUGGGACACUCUGCAAAAAUCACCUUAUAGAAGUGGAUAGCCUGUGUAUACAAGAUGUCUGGGGACCAAACCAACGUUAUUGUGGUCUGAUCCCUCUGCAAAGAUCCCAGAGAAGGUUGGGAAGAAUCCAGCAAAGCAGAGAAGAAGAAACAGAGAACCACACUGCUGAAUUCCUCCUGGCCAAAGAUCAGGCAGCUCCCUGCUUCCAUGGCUCAGAUCACUGACAGAAAAGCUCAGGGCUGCAUCCUGAGGCUCAGACGGCAGCCUGCUGACCCAGGCAUGUCCCUGCUCUUCUAGGGCAUUUGCACCAGCAGCAGUAGCUUCUGCAUGCCUUACAUAGCAGAUCCCCUCUCAAGUCAGGGAAUGAAGAGAACCGUAAAACAAGACUGCAAUAAAAGCAUUGCAAAUAGAAAAAUAAAGAACAAAAUGCAAAAAGAAGGAAACACAGCGGAAAGGAAAGACCAGGGAGAGCCAAGAGGUAUGAAGAAGUGAUGGGAUACUGUAGAGGAAUGAAGCUGGGUUAAUUAGCAUUGAUAAUACACAACUGUGGGUUGGCUGAUGUAGAUAAGGUGCAGCUGUGGCUGGUUAAGUUAAGUGGUUGAGAGCCAAUGAAAAGAGAGCAGCUGAGGAAAGGAAGGUGAGAGAGGAAGAAGCAGAGACAAGACACAUGCCCUGGAUGAGGUGAGACAGGAGAAGGCAGCAGAGGGACUGGCACGAAGAGUAUGUUGGUAUGAGAUGGUAAAAGACCUUGUUGCAGCUUGAUAGUUUGGAGAGUGCUGUGACAGGAUACUGUACUGGGAUGCAAGGGUGCAAGGGCAGCGCAUCUGCUGAUCCAUGACAAAGGGUGGAUGGAGUGAACUUAGAGAGCUCAUGUCACAAAGUAGGCAAGCCUGUCUCUGUGGUCAGUGCCUGCUUUUGGAUAGCAGACUGGCAGACACAGCGUGGCAUUUUUGGUCACUUGUGCCAGGACAGUGCUUCCAUUUGAAUUAACAGUCUGACUCUGUGUCAGUUCUGCUACCUGAAUUAACCUUUUUAUGCUGCCUCUGAACAUCAGUUGACACAGCAGUCUAAUUUUGCUCCCCCUAAGAAUAACAAAGAGCCAAAUUGUUACCCCCUGAUUUAAGGCUUUUCAGAUACUCUGGCCUUGGGCCCAAUCUGAUUUACAACUCAAGUUGGUAGAAGAAAGUCUCCAGACCUUCACUGAGAGUUAGAUAAGGCAUUCUGGGAAAAUUUAUUGGGGGAGAACACAGCAUUUAUUUGGGGUUUCAGUUUUAUUUUGGUUUGCAGUCUAAACUCCUAAUUCCCAGAGCCACAGUUCUCCCAUUGCCUUCAUGGGAUUUAUAUUGGAGUCACUUGACUGUGUUUUGCUAUGUCUAACAUGAUUGCCUUCUUUAUUUUUUGCUUUAUUUUUUCUCCU